rnacentral:lncRNA from 1 species
CAUUAUUCAGUUGAAGACCAAUGAGGAUUUGAUGGUUAUGUGAAGAUCAUUUCACCGUAGGAUAACUAAGUCGUCGAACGAGUUAGAUGCGAAGAUUUCAAGAUAUGUCGAUGACAUAAUUAAGAUGUUGAAACGUCCAUAAUCAUCUGGUAGUAUUUAUAUUUUCUUAUUUAUUAUUGUUUUCUUAGGUUAUGUAAUCGUCUAUCUGAAUUAUGUAAGCGUUUGUCAAA